rnacentral:lncRNA from 1 species
GGAGUAGAUGGUGAUAUAAAUUACAAUUUGCAACUGUAACAAUCAUUUAAAAAUAUUACAUGUACUCCAGGGAUGAUUGUGAUUGGCCUGGAACUUGUACAUGUAUGUUGAUUUAUACUAUGAUUUUUGAUGAUUCUUUGAAAAUUUAUAACACCAACUGAGCAUUGUUAGUUUUUCUGGUAAAUAAUGUGUGCUGUAAUAUUAAAUUUACAACCUCAAGCAACUGUAGUCUUGCUUCAGCUUUCUUUUCUUUGUUAAACUGCCAGUUACUGUACACAUGUCCUGCAAAACCAUUAAUAAUGAGAAGACAUUGUCACGAUGUUAGAUCUUUUAUUAUCAUGAUUAUAUUAAUUUGACCAUUUUAUUUUUGAAAGUUUCCUGC